GACGUAGGAUGCAAGCGUUGUCCGGAUUUAUUGGGCGUAAAGAGUUCGUAGGCGGUUCGUUAAGUCUGGUGUAAAAGACUGGGGCUCAACCCUGGGAUCGCACUGGAUACUGGCGGACUCGAGUGAAGUAGAGGCAAGCGGAAUUCCCAGUGUAGCGGUGAAAUGCGUAGAUAUUGGGAAGAACACCGGUGGCGCAAGCGGCUUGCUGGGCUUUAACUGACGCUGAGGAACGAAAGCUAGGGGAGCAAAUGGG
rnacentral:rRNA from 1 species